UACGGAGGAUGCGAGCGUUAUCUGGAUUUAUUGGGUUUAAAGGGUGCGUAGGCGGAUGAAUAAGUCAGUGGUGAAAGGCUGCAGCUUAACUGUAACAGUGCCGUUGAUACUGGGGAGCUAGGAUUUGGUUGCUGUGGGUGGAAUGUGUGGUGUAGCGGUGAAAUGCUUAGAUAUCACGAGGAACUCCGAUUGCGCAGGCAGCUUACUAAACUACUACUGACGCUCAGGCACGAAGGCGUGGGGAUCAAACAGGA
rnacentral:rRNA from 1 species